UACGAAGGGGGCUAGCGUUGUUCGGAAUUACUGGGCGUAAAGGGCGCGUAGGCGGAUUGGUAAGUCAGAUGUGAAAGCCCCAGGCUCAACCCCGGAAUUGCACUCGAAACUGCGAGGCUUGAGUCCGGGAGAGGGUGGCGGAAUUCCCGGUGUAGGGGUGAAAUCCGUAGAUAUCGGGAGGAACACCAGUGGCGAAGGCGGCCACCUGGACGGUGACUGACGCUGAGAAGCGAAAGCGUGGGGAGCAAACAGG
rnacentral:rRNA from 1 species